rnacentral:lncRNA from 1 species
GUGUUUAUCUACCUACAGGAUCUACUGGGAAGGCAUCAUCCCAACCCUCCACCAUCUCUAAGGAGGAGGAGAGGUUGAAGAGGUUGGAGAAUCUGACGAUCUCCAGAAGAUGACAAAUGGGAGGGAUGAACUCUGGGGAAUCCUGGCCCAUUACACUAACAAGGAUUUGAACAACAACAGUUCAAGGAAUUAUUUGCUCCUUGGGCCAUGCCCUCCCACAGGAUCAACUUUGAGGCCUUCAUGCUCGAGAUGCAACACCAACAGGUGAUAGCCAACCUGCAGAAAAUGUCCCAGGACAUCAGUGAGGCUUCUAUCAUCAGGCACUGCCACCUCCUGAGUGAAUCUAACCACCUUCAGCACAAAGUCAGGAUGUUGUGGAAGGAGAACAGGCAGCUGCCAGGGGAGCAGAUUGCAUUGGAAAAAAUGCUCCAAAGAAACAAAGAGGCUGUGUAAAGAAGGCAGCCUGAAUAUCUAUGACCUAUGUACCAAGCAGCAGCAGGUA